rnacentral:rRNA from 1 species
AUUGAACGCUGGCGGCAUGCCUUACACAUGCAAGUCGAACGGCAGCACGGGUGCUUGCACCUGGUGGCGAGUGGCGAACGGGUUAGUAAUACAUCGGAACAUGUCCUGUAGUGGGGGAUAGCCCGGCGAAAGCCGGAUUAAUACCGCAUACGAUCUACGGAUGAAAGCGGGGGACCUUCGGGCCUCGCGCGAUAGGGUUGGCCGAUGGCUGAUUAGCUAGUUGGGGGGGUAAAGGGCUACCAAGGCGACGAUCAGUAGCUGGUCUGAGAGGACGACCAGCCACACUGGGAGUGGGACACGGCCCAGACUCCUACGGGAGGCAGCAGUGGGGAAUGUUGGACAAUGGGCGAAAGCCUGAUCCAGCAAUGCCGCGUGUGUGAAGAAGGCCUUCGGGUUGUAAAGCACUUUUGUCCGGAAAGAAAUCCUUGGCCCUAAUACGGUCGGGGGAUGACGGUACCGGAAGAAUAAGCACCGGCUAACUACGUG